UACGAAGGGGGGCUAGCGUUGCUCGGAAUUACUGGGCGUAAAGCGCACGUAGGCGGAUUGUUAAGUCGGGGGUGAAAUCCUGGAGCUCAACUCCAGAACUGCCUUUGAUACUGGCGAUCUCGAGUCCGGGAGAGGUGAGUGGAACUGCGAGUGUAGAGGUGAAAUUCGUAGAUAUUCGCAAGAACACCAGUGGCGAAGGCGGCUAACUGGCCCGGUACUGACGCUGAGGUGCGAAAGCGUGGGGAGCAAACAGG
rnacentral:rRNA from 1 species